AGUCGUCUGGUAAAAAGGGGGGGCAGAGGGGUUGGGAGGGCUCACAAGCCAGGAGCUUGACCUCUUCUUAGGUGCUCUAGGGCUUGGUUUCACAAGGGCCAUUCCCAAGUCAGGAUGGACUCCCAACCCCACCCAGGCCCGACUUUCAAAAGAAAGGCGUAAGGGACAGGAAGUGGUGCUAUUUAUACUGAAGGAAAGGAAGGGCCACCACAAGGCUGACCAGGCCCCAAGCUUGGGAGUCAGGGGUGGGGACUGUCCAGACAAGGCCUACAUGGCAACAAGAACCAAGAUGAACCAAGAGUGGCGGGGCCCCAAGGGCCACUCAACCGGGAGCUUCACUACAUCAGGGGUCAGCCAUGCUCACACUUGGCAAGAAGGAGACAGGGAGGAGAGAGAAAACGCAUGCUCUUUGAGAAGGGCCUGCUUCAGGUACCCAGUGCUUUCCUGCCAUAGUUUUCCUGUUGUCCGAUCCUGGUGAUGAAUGUCUCCUGAGGGGCUUUGUCAUACAGAACACAGCUUGUCCCACGGCCAUGCAGACAGGGAGGGAACUUCCCUGUGUCAUGACCCGCAUGAGGCCCUAGAGCAGCCCGGCCUCCCACCCAGCACUGCCUUGACAACAGCAUCCUACGUGGGACCCGCAGGGUACCAGGAGCAACGGUCAGCAAGCUCUACCACGGGGGUACAGGCUCCUGCGUCACGACUGGGAGCGCGCACACUUGUGGGGCCACUGGGAGGCACACUGGCCCCUCGGAACCAGGAGUUUCUUUCUAAGCCAGGCUGGCUCCCGGGAGUCACCCGCCCACUCUGAUCCUCAGUCUCUCACCUCUGAG